GACGAACGCUGGCGGCGUGCUUAACACAUGCAAGUCGAACGAUGAAGCCUAGCUUGCUAGGUGGAUUAGUGGCGAACGGGUGAGUAAUACGUGAGUAACCUACCUUUAACUCUGGGAUAAGCCUGGGAAACUGGGUCUAAUACCGGAUACGACCAAUCUCCGCAUGGGGUGUUGGUGGAAAGCGUUAUGUAGUGGUUAUAGAUGGGCUCACGGCCUAUCAGCUUGUUGGUGAGGUAACGGCUCACCAAGGCGACGACGGGUAGCCGGCCUGAGAGGGUGACCGGCCACACUGGGACUGAGACACGGCCCAGACUCCUACGGGAGGCAGCAGUGGGGAAUAUUGCACAAUGGGCGCAAGCCUGAUGCAGCGACGCCGCGUGAGGGAUGACGGCCUUCGGGUUGUAAACCUCUGUUAGCAGGGAAGAAGAGAAAUUGACGGUACCUGCAGAGAAAGCGCCGGCUAACUACGUGCCAGCAGCCGCGGUAAUACGUAGGGCGCGAGCGUUGUCCGGAAUUAUUGGGCGUAAAGAGCUUGUAGGCGGUUUGUCGCGUCUGCUGUGAAAGGCCGGGGCUUAACCCCGUGUAUUGCAGUGGGUACGGGCAGACUAGAGUGCAGUAGGGGAGACUGGAACUCCUGGUGUAGCGGUGGAAUGCGCAGAUAUCAGGAAGAACACCGAUGGCGAAGGCGGUCUCUGGGCUGUAACUGACGCUGAGAAGCGAAAGCAUGGGGAGCGAAAAGGAUUAUAUACCCUUGUAGUCCAAAGGGCGAAUUCCCACCAUGGAUAUCAAGCUUAUCGAUACCGUCGACCUCGAGGGGGGGGCGCGGUACCCGCUUUUGUUCCCUUAGUGAGGGGUGGUUACGCACUAAGAGAAACAUUGUCUUACUUUUUCCAAAGAGG
rnacentral:rRNA from 1 species